rnacentral:lncRNA from 1 species
CCCAAGGACAACAAGAAGAAGAAAGAUGCCAAAAAGUUGGGCAAGAAAGACAAAGACCCAGUGAACAAAUCCUGGGGCAAAGCCAAAAUGAAGAAGUGAUCCAAAGGCAAAGUUCGGGACAAGCUCAAUAACUUAGUCUUGUUUGACAAAGCUACUUAUGACAAACUCUGUAAGGAAGUUCCCAACUAUAAACUUAGAGCUCCAGCUGUGGUCUCUAAGAGACUAAAGAUUCGAGGUUCCCUGGCCAGAGCAGCCCUUCAGGAGCUCCUUAGUAAAGGACUUAACAAACUGUUUCAAAGCACAGAGUUCAAGUAAUUUACACCAGAAAUACCAAGGGCGGGGAUGCUCCAGCUGCUGGUGAAGAUGCAUGA